rnacentral:rRNA from 1 species
GACGAACGCUGGCGGCGUGCCUAAUACAUGCAAGUCGAACGCUGAAGGAGGAGCUUGCUUCUCUGGAUGAGUUGCGAACGGGUGAGUAACGCGUAGGUAACCUGCCUGGUAGCGGGGGAUAACUAUUGGAAACGAUAGCUAAUACCGCAUAAGAGUAGAUGUUGCAUGACAUUUGCUUAAAAGGUGCAAUUGCAUCACUACCAGAUGGACCUGCGUUGUAUUAGCUAGUUGGUGAGGUAACGGCUCACCAAGGCGACGAUACAUAGCCGACCUGAGAGGGUGAUCGGCCACACUGGGACUGAGACACGGCCCAGACUCCUACGGGAGGCAGCAGUAGGGAAUCUUCGGCAAUGGACGGAAGUCUGACCGAACAACGCCGCGUGAGUGAAGGAGGGUUUCGGAUCGUAAAGCUCUGUUGUAAGAGAAGAACGAGUGUGAGAGUGGAAAGUUCACACUGUGACGGUAUCUUACCAGAAAGGGACGGCUAACUACGUG